rnacentral:rRNA from 1 species
CUGGGAUAAGCCCGGGAAACUGGGUCUAAUACCGGAUAUAACCACUGGUCUCAUGAUCGGGUGGUGGAAAGUUUUUCGGUUGGGGAUGGGCUCGCGGCCUAUCAGCUUGUUGGUGGGGUGAUGGCCUACCAAGGCGACGACGGGUAACCGGCCUGAGAGGGCGACCGGUCACACUGGGACUGAGACACGGCCCAGACUCCUACGGGAGGCAGCAGUGGGGAAUAUUGCGCAAUGGGCGGAAGCCUGACGCAGCGACGCCGCGUGAGGGAUGACGGCCUUCGGGUUGUAAACCUCUUUCAGCAGGGACGAAGCUAACGUGACGGUACCUGCAGAAGAAGCGCCGGCUAACUACGUGCCAGCAGCCGCGGUAAUACGUAGGGCGCAAGCGUUGUCCGGAAUUAUUGGGCGUAAAGAGCUCGUAGGCGGUUUGUCGCGUCUGUCGUGAAAGCCCACGGCUUAACCGUGGGUCUGCGGUGGAUACGGGCAGACUAGAGGCAGGUAGGGGAGAAUGGAAUUCCCGGUGUAGCGGUGAAAUGCGCAGAUAUCGGGAGGAACACCGGUGGCGAAGGCGGUUCUCUGGGCCUGUACUGACGCUGAGGAGCGAAAGCGUGAGGAGCGAACAGGAUUAGAUACCCUGGUAGUCCACGCCGUAAACGUUGGGCGCUAGGUGUGGGGUCCUUCCACGGAUUCCGCGCCGCAGCUAACGCAUUAAGCGCCCCGCCUGGUGAGUACGGCCGCAAGGCUAAAACUC